CCUACGGGAGGCAGCAGUGAGGAAUAUUGGUCAAUGGACGCAAGUCUGAACCAGCCAUGCCGCGUGCAGGAAGACGGCCCUAUGAGUUGUAAACUGCUUUUGUACGAGGGUAAACGCAGAUACGCGUAUCUGUCUGAGAGUAUCGUACGAAUAAGGAUCGGCUAACUCCGUGCCAGCAGCCGCGGUAAUACGGAGGAUUCAAGCGUUAUCCGGAUUUAUUGGGUUUAGAGGGUGUGCAGCCGGGAAGACCAGGCAGAUGUGAAAUCCCGGGGCUGAACCGCGGAACUGCAUUUGAAACUGUUUGUCUUGAGUGUCGGAGAGGUAAGCGGAAUUCGUAGUGUAGCGGUGAAAUGCGUAGAUAUUAGGAAGAACACCAGUGGCGAAGGCGGAUUACUGGCCGACAACUGACGGUGAGGCGCGAAAGUGUGGGUAGCAAACAGGAUUAGAUACCCCGGUAGUC
rnacentral:rRNA from 1 species